GUGAAGAUCACCAUAAUCUAAAAGGCC
rnacentral:piRNA from 2 species